AGGGUUUGAUCAUGGCUCAGGAUGAACGCUGGCGGCGUGCUUAACACAUGCAAGUCGAACGAACCUUCGGGUUAGUGGCGGACGGGUGAGUAACGCGUGAGAAUCUGCCCUCAGGAGGGGGAUAACGGUUGGAAACGACCGCUAAUACCCCAUAUGCCUACUGGUGAAAUGAAUUUCGCCUGAGGAUGAGCUCGCGUCUGAUUAGCUAGUUGGUGAGGUAAUGGCUCACCAAGGCAUCGAUCAGUAGCUGGUCUGAGAGGAUGAUCAGCCACACUGGGACUGAGACACGGCCCAGACUCCUACGGGAGGCAGCAGUGGGGAAUUUUCCGCAAUGGGCGAAAGCCUGACGGAGCAACGCCGCGUGAGGGACGAAGGCCUCUGGGCUGUAAACCUCUUUUCUCAAGGAAGAAGAUAUGACGGUACUUGAGGAAUAAGCCACGGCUAAUUCCGUGCCAGCAGCCGCGGUAAUACGGGAGUGGCAAGCGUUAUCCGGAAUUAUUGGGCGUAAAGCGUCCGCAGGCGGCUUUUCAAGUCUGCUGUUAAAACGUGGAGCUUAACUCCAUCAUGGCAGUGGAAACUGAAAGGCUUGAGUAUGGUAGGGGCAGAGGGAAUUCCCGGUGUAGCGGUGAAAUGCGUAGAUAUCGGGAAGAACACCAGUGGCGAAGGCGCUCUGCUGGGCCAUUACUGACGCUCAUGGACGAAAGCCAGGGGAGCGAAAGGGAUUAGAUACCCCUGUAGUCCUGGCCGUAAACGAUGAACACUAGGUGUCGGGGGAAUCGACCCCUUCGGUGUCGUAGCUAACGCGUUAAGUGUUCCGCCUGGGGAGUACGCACGCAAGUGUGAAACUCAAAGGAAUUGACGGGGGCCCGCACAAGCGGUGGAGUAUGUGGUUUAAUUCGAUGCAACGCGAAGAACCUUACCAGGGUUUGACAUCCUGCGAACCUCUUAGAAAUUUGAGGGUGCCUUCGGGAAUGCAGUGACAGGUGGUGCAUGGCUGUCGUCAGCUCGUGUCGUGAGAUGUUGGGUUAAGUCCCGCAACGAGCGCAACCCACGUUUUUAGUUGCCAGCAUUUAGUUGGGCACUCUAGAAAGACCGCCGGUGAUAAACCGGAGGAAGGUGUGGAUGACGUCAAGUCAUCAUGCCCCUUACACCCUGGGCUACACACGUACUACAAUGCUACGGACAAAGGGCAGCAAACUCGCGAGAGCUAGCAAAUCCCAUAAACCGUGGCUCAGUUCAGAUCGUAGGCUGCAACUCGCCUACGUGAAGUAGGAAUCGCUAGUAAUCGCAGGUCAGCAUACUGCGGUGAAUACGUUCCCGGGCCUUGUACACACCGCCCGUCACACCAUGGAAGUUGGCCAUGCCCGAAGUCGUUACUCCAACCCUUGUGGAGGAGGACGCCGAAGGUGGGGCUAAUGACUGGGGUGAAGUCGUAACAAGGUAACCGUA
rnacentral:rRNA from 1 species